rnacentral:rRNA from 1 species
AUGCACGCUGGCGGCGUGCCUAAUACAUGCAAGUCGAGCGAACAGACGAGGAGCUUGCUCCUCUGACGUUAGCGGCGGACGGGUGAGUAACACGUGGAUAACCUACCUAUAAGACUGGGAUAACUUCGGGAAACCGGAGCUAAUACCGGAUAAUAUAUUGAACCGCAUGGUUCAAUAGUGAAAGACGGUUUUGCUGUCACUUAUAGAUGGAUCCGCGCCGCAUUAGCUAGUUGGUAAGGUAACGGCUUACCAAGGCAACGAUGCGUAGCCGACCUGAGAGGGUGAUCGGCCACACUGGAACUGAGACACGGUCCAGACUCCUACGGGAGGCAGCAGUAGGGAAUCUUCCGCAAUGGGCGAAAGCUUGACGGAGCAACGCCGCGUGAGUGAUGAAGGUCUUCGGAUCGUAAAACUCUGUUAUUAGGGAAGAGCAAAUGUGUAAGUAACUAUGCACGUCUUGACGGUACCUAAUCAGAAAGCCACGGCUAACUACGUG